GACGAACGCUGGCGGCGUGCUUAACACAUGCAAGUCGAACGGAAAGGCCCUGCUUUUGUGGGGUGCUCGAGUGGCGAACGGGUGAGUAACACGUGAGUAACCUGCUCUUGACUUUCGGGUAACUUCAGGAAACUGGGGCUAAUACCGGAUAGGAGCCCCUGCUGCAUGGUGGGGGUUGGAUAGUUUCGGCGGUUGGGGAUGGACUCGCGGCUUAUCAGCUUGUUGGUGGGGUAGUGGCUUACCAAGGCUUUGACGGGUAGCCGGCCUGAGAGGGUGACCGGCCACAUUGGGACUGAGAGACGGCCCAGACUCCUACGGGAGGCAGCAGUGGGGAAUAUUGCACAACGAGCGGAAGCCUGAUGCAGCAACGCCGCGGGCGGGAUGACGGCCUGCGGGUUGUAAACCGCUUUCGCCUGUGACGAAGCGGGAGUGACGGUAAUGGGUAAAGAAGCACCGGCUAACUACGUG
rnacentral:rRNA from 1 species